rnacentral:misc_RNA from 1 species
AUUUAAAAAAAAAAAUCUUAGAGCAAAUAAGAUUUAGAAUUUUAUGUUUGACAUGUUUUCAAUGUGAUUGAUGUGACAUUCUUGGCUUAUAGAUGCUUUCAAAAUUCUAAAACCAUUUACAAUUCUUUGCUUUGUGAACUGCCAUUUGAUGCUUAAUGUAUAUACUAGAAUGGUUCUUUUGUGGUCAUAUAUUGCUGAUAGGGAAUGAAACAUUACAAACUCAUUGCAAUGCCAAAUUUGUUAUGGUCAGGUACUAAGUAUAAUAAGGUA